UACGUAUUACGUAUAAGCAACUUAGUAUGUAGAACUACUAUGAUACACCAAAGUCAUAAAAUCUCUUAAUCAAUUACAAAUGGUUUAGGUUGUGUUCUAUUCACCUGAUGUUCACUUAUCUUAACUUAUUAGACCUUAUGAAAACUUAUUUAUAGGACACCUAAACAUAACGCUUAAACAUAACCCUAUCCAUAAACCCUAAACCCUAAAUAAUGUUAUUCUAAUAUAAGAACUCACAACAUUUUACGAUACAAUUAAAAAAAUUGAUAACAAAAAAUAUAACAUAUGCAAAAGUAUCUUACGAACCCAAAAAAAAAAAAAAAAAAAGAAGCCAUUUAGGACUACUAAAUUUGAAAAAUUGCACAAAUUAUAAAACGUAUAUAAGUUAUAGAUAUAUUCGCAGACAUGUAUUAAUAAAAGUAUGUAUUAGUAUAAACUUUUAUUAAAGAAUAGAGUCAUCAUUACAUCCUUUGCCUACAUCCCCCUUACUCAUACCUAUGAUUAGACGAUUCACUAUGGCCAAUUUGUUUUUUUAUUUUUAUUUUUUGUUUUAUAUAUAUUUUUAAAAAUUCUUAGAAAAAUAAUUAUAGUCAUUGAUGUGCUGUUUACAAAGAUAGGUUUUUUUGAAAAUAAGUUUUUACUAAUAAUUUUUGUUAAAAAUAUAAUAUGUAAUAUUUUAAAGAAGAACUUGUAAUAUUUCCUCAAAAAAUAUAUUACCUCCGUUCUAAAAGUUCGACUUACUUACUAUUCAUGUGGUCAAACUAAAAUAACUUUGACCAUAUUUUAUAAUUUAUACAAUAGAAAUAAAUAAAACAUGUGAGAUCUUGUUAAAUUCUCCUUAUUAUAAAUAUUCUAAAUAUCAACUUCUUAUAACUUUCACUUAUACAUAAUCAGAGAUAUUCUUGAUCAAAUAUGUUCAUUAGAGACCGUACAAAUGUAAAGUGAGUCCAACUUUCAGGAAUAAAAGGAGUAUACAUAUAUAUAAAAAAUAAGAAAAUUUGUGAUUCGACUCAACAUUUCACUAAAAGAAGAACCGUCAUUUUUAUAAAUAUUGUAUUUAGGGUGAAAACCGCUCUAGUAAAAAAAAUUAAGUAACAAAAAAAAAAAAAAAAAAAAAAAAACUACCUGCCUUCAAUAUUUCACUUUAUUUUAUUGCACUUGCAUUUUCCCAUAACUCUUCUCUUUCCUCUGUAAUCAAUGGAUUCAAAGAAAACAAAAUCGGCGGCCGAUGAAGACUUCUUCGCUUCUCUAUUCGUCCAACACCAGCAAGCAUCUUCCCAAAUUCUACGAUUGAGUCAUCUACCAAAAAGGUUUCAUAGGACAAUGAACCUGCGAAUAAUCAAUGGGAUACGAUAACAAAUUUGGCAGGGCGAUUGGCAAAGGAUUCAGAGAAGGACCAAGUGGGAGGGGAACCUACACAUGUGUCUAAUGUAGGCACUGUGGGUAGUAGCGGAAAGGCCGCCAUUAAUGAAGCUGAAACAGAUAAAUCCUACAACAAAGGAGAGUCUCAAACGGGAGGAGCAUCUCGUUCUACAAAUGAGAAUGUAGCGGGUGACAAAGAUACUUCUGAACCACCAGCAAAGGAACUAGAAACUGCUGAUGUUCACGGUUUUCCAAAAGAAAUUCCUGUUGUUCCAAGUGCUCCUAAAGAUAGAGAGGAAAAAAAUGCAGAGGAGGCAACCCCAAACCCGGAAUUCAGGCUAUCAGAACAAACAACAAAAAAUCAAACAACCGAAGGCAUCCCAUCCAGUCAGCCCUUAGAAAAAGCUCAACCUACCAUUGUUGAUAAAAUUGCUGCUGCUGCUGGAAGUUCUGAUGCUACAAGUAACCUGCAGUAAUUCCUAUAGCUGAAGAGUUAUAGUAGGGCAUUUAAAUAAGAUUUGAUGUUAGAAAAUUAUAUUUGAUCAUCUAAAAUUAAAUAUGAUUAAUAUGUCUAUAUUGCAGAAGAUAAUGUUAUAAAAAAUUAAUAAAUGAUACUGGAAAUAUUAAUAAAUGUAUUUCCUAAAAUUGUGUGUGUUUGUAGGAACAUUCAAAAGAAAAUGAGACAACCAAAGGCAACCCAGAAAAUCAGACCUCAGAGAUUCCUCCUGUUGCUGGAAGUGCUGCUGGCGGAAGUUGUACAGUAGAUAGAGAGUUAUGUGUGUUUGCAGGAACAAAAAAUUGGGUAGCCUACAGGAGAACCUAUAUCUACAAGAUAAACUGGGCAGCUUACAGGCAGUGAAGGUGCAACAAAAAACCCAGCAAGUCAGCCCUUUAAAAAUCUACAACCUGCUGUUCAUGAAAUUGGUAGAGCGGUAUAAUAUGGCAUUUAAAUUGUAUACUUAAUUUUUUUUUUGCGAACUAAAUUAAUUCAUUAAUAAAAAUCCAUUCAACAUCUAAAUUGUAUAGUUUUA